rnacentral:ribozyme from 1 species
AAAAAAAAAAAGAGAAAAAAAAGCGGAGAAAAAAAGAGGGGAAAAAAAGGAGGAAAAGAAGAAUGGGCAAACAACUGGUCUUCCUCACUUUCGCCCUUCUCUUCUCUUCCGCU